CCGCAUUACCGAACUUACUAAAAGAAGAGAAAAGAGUCUGUACCGAAAAAGAGUCUGCACGGAAAAAAAAAGAGUCUGUACCUAAAGAGAGACUCUGUGAAUCUAAAUCUGUUUAUUUAUUUUAUUUUAUUUUACACAUAUUCAAACUAUAGAUUACGAAUUUGGGAUUCGAAUUUGUGAAUUAACUGAAUUUGCUGGGCGAAACGAAGGAGGCAAUGCCCAACAGAUCAACCGGACCUCAAAUAUAUCUUUGCUUCCCGGGUAUUUAAAUCACAUUUCACGAGAACAAAUAAUGGCAAUUCACGGCUCACGAAAAUACCCUUAACAAACUCAUCAUAGAGUCAAUGCAAAAUACAUGUAGUCAUUCUUGUUUUGACUGUAAAGAACAAGUCAAGAAAAGAAAGGUUUAUCCCUAUUAAAAUUUCUUUCAUCAAGUAUGCUAUGAAAGUCCAUCAAUGGCACAGUUUUCUUUAAAAUGUCAAAGCAAAGCUGACUUAACUAUUAACAAUUAAUUCGAGAAUCGUAAUUCAAACACAAAGUGUGCCAAGUCUAUAAAACCGAUCUGUACGAUAUUACCGUUCUUAGAGUUGAUAUAUCUUAAUUUAUAUAAUUAUUUCACAUUAUUAUUCAUGCAGUAUAAAACUGGUCUACAGCCACCAACAUCCGUUAUUUUAUACAUAGUUUAGUUUAAGAUGUCCUCUGAUGUCAUCAGAUAUCCUCGCUUUUCCCUUGUUCCUCCUCUUCUUCCUUUACGCCACAGAAAAUUAAAGAUAUUAAAACUCUAUACUUGUUUGAUGGUGUUAAAUGCAAAACCACGGGCGGAUCCACCGUGGGGGUACAGGGGGAAGGAGGGUUGUAUACCCCACCUAGUAGUGUCAAGCACCCACUAGAGAAGUUCAGAACCACUCUAAAAAAACUGCUUUACCAUGCAUUUUCUGCUUUUCGAAUAACGGAACUUCUACUGUUAGCGUGUGUCGAUUUCUUCAAACGAUUUAAAAUUGAUUUGUGAGCUCACGAGAAAACACUCAGAAUGCUUCAGUUAAUAUCAUGGUUAAAUAUGUAAACAUGUCGAGGUUGUUAUACAGCCAUAUUUUCAAAUAUAGCGUACUUUAUUGAACUGUGUUACAGCAACUGUCCAGUCACGCAUCUGUCCAGUCAUCUCAAAUGAUGGUAAUGUUGGGAUACACGGCAUAAAACGCCGAGCCCGUUGCUCAACAGAACUGAACAAUGUUUUGCUGCCCACGUUGUUCACACUUGUCAACAAUAUUGAACAAUGUUGUUGAGCCUGAA